rfam:Magnaporthe poae ATCC 64411 unplaced genomic scaffold supercont1.5, whole genome shotgun sequence.
GGGCGAAUGGUUUAGUGGUAUAACGCUUCCUUAGCAUCUUGACUCGGAAGAGAUCAGAUUGGAAGAGGUCCGGGGUUCGAUUCCCCGUUUGUCCA